GACGAACGCUGGCGGCGUGCUUAACACAUGCAAGUCGAACGGUAAGGCCCUUCGGGGUACACGAGUGGCGAACGGGUGAGUAACACGUGGGUGAUCUGCCCUGCACUUCGGGAUAAGCCUGGGAAACUGGGUCUAAUACCGGAUAGGACCACUGCCUGCAUGGGUGGUGGUGGAAAGCUUUUGCGGUGUGGGAUGGGCCCGCGGCCUAUCAGCUUGUUGGUGGGGUGAUGGCCUACCAAGGCGACGACGGGUAGCCGGCCUGAGAGGGUGACCGGCCACACUGGGACUGAGAUACGGCCCAGACUCCUAUGGGAGGCAGCAGUGGGGAAUAUCGCACAAUGGGCGCAAGCCUGAUGCAGCGACGCCGCGUGAGGGAUGACGGCCUUCGGGUUGUAAACCUCUUUCAGCACCGACGAAGCGCAAGUGACGGUAGGUGCAGAAGAAGCACCGGCCAACUACGUGCCAGCCGCCGCCGUAA
rnacentral:rRNA from 1 species